CAAUUUCUAGAGGAAUUUUUUUUUCCAGCCAUGGAAAGCUGAAAAGCUACGAGAUUCCACACUUUCAUCGGAAUUUUAACUUAAGAAAGGUAACUUUGCUGAUUUAUUUCCACAGUUUACUCUUGUAAAGUUACCUAUUUGUUCAACUUUAAGAGUGCACCGAGAGAGAGAGGGGUAAACGAGCGGGACACUUCCUAGUAACCCCUGUCUUGUGUGCAUUUUAUUACCAAAAAACAAAACAAAAAAACAUUCUAUAUAUAAUUGGCCAUAAUUUCGAUAGAUUUUCUAAUCUGGCAACAUUCGAUAACGUCAUCAGUUUAGAGAAGGAUAGCAUUGUUGAAUAAAAAUUACAUUGGAAUUGUGUAUGUGAUGCAUCUGUUGGUGCACUAGCCGGAAAUAUGAUCCCGUACACUUGGAUUUUGCUCUAGCCGCUAAAGUCAACUGUCACCGCAGUGAAGCCAGCCGACUCUCGACUCGACAGAAAACGCAGCUACAGGUAAGACUUAAUACAUUUUUCAUAGGAUCAUGAUUUUUCUGAACUUCAUCGCAGGUCAAACCGCAGAAACGAGAUUGUUGAUAGCCUAAUUUGAAGUGCCAUUCCCGACAUGUGGGAGCAUAUACUGUAUUAAGAUUUGUCUUAUGUGGCAACAUUACAUUUAUAACGUCUUCAAUUUGAUUAAAGAGUAACGUUUAGCAUUGUUGAAUAAAAUUAAUUUGAAAUUGUGUGUUUGAUGUUGACGCGGUAGCCGUUUGAAUAAUCUCACUCGUUUUUUUUUUUUUGCUUGCCAACGUUGGCGCCUGAAGAAUCAGACAUUUAAGCGGGCCGAUUCGAAAGUUUUAUUCAUUCGAGAGUUUUAUUCAUGACUCGUGGAAGCAUAAUAAUAUACUCGCACUGUAUUAAGAUUUUUCGAGAUCUUACUCGUUCUUUUAUUUACCAUUUGGUUCAUUUCUUUCAGGUUGCAGCAAAGAGGCCUCAACAAUCGUUCCAGAUUCUUCAUCAAGAUAAAUCCAGAGCACAGCAAGUGCAAUUCGAAGGUCCAGGUUAG
ensembl:lncRNA